GAAAGCAGACGGCUCACCAUGGAGCUGGCGCUGAGCUGCGUUUUCCUGUUUGCAAUUAUAAAAGGUGUCCAGUGUGAGGAGCAGCUGGUGGAGUCCGGGGGAGGCUUGGUGCAGCCUGGCGGGUCCCUGAGACCCUCCUGCGUGGCUUCAGGAUUCACCCUCAGUAGCUAUCACAUGGACUGGAUUUGCCGGGCUCCAGGAAAGGGGCUGGAGUGGAUCUCCUGCAACAGUAGUGGUGGUAGCACAUACUACGCAGACGCCGUGAAGGGCCGAUUCACCAUCUCCAGGGACAACGGGAAGAACAUGCUGUAUCUGCAAAUGAGCCAAUUGAAAACUGAGGACUCGACCGUGUAUUACUGUGCAAGACACG